UUGACCUCAAAUCGGGUGAGACUACCCGCUGAACUUAAGCAUAUCAAUAAGCGGAGGAAAAGAAACUAACAGGAUUCCCCUAGUAACUGCGAGUGAAGCGGGAAAAGCUCAAAUUUAAAUCUGGCGGUCUUUGGCCGUCCGAGUUGUAAUUUANAGAAGCGUCUUCCGCGCUGACG
rnacentral:rRNA from 1 species